rnacentral:misc_RNA from 1 species
AUGGGAGAUAAUCGGGGCCGAAAGGCCUGUCUGCAUCACCCUUGACUUUUUGUGCACCUUCUGUUUCCUCGGCAGCUCCGCCUGCCAAUGGGGACCCCCAAUAAACCUUUUUGCAAUUUUAGUAUGAACUUUCAGAACAAACCUAAAUGUUA